UGAAAUAUAUACUUGGAGUCAGAUAUGUAACGCAUUUAUAAUAUUCAUGUUUUCCCCAUAUUUUUUUUUUUUCAAAAUACAAAAAAAGUUUUAUCUUUUUUUAUCAAUAACAAGGGAGUGUUGCCAACGUUUUUUUUAAGUGGUUGCCAGCUUUUAUUUUAAUCUGUCGAUGUCGCUUCUAUGCCUUACCGUAAUACCAUUUUUGGUUCGAAGCGACUUGCACAUAACGUCGACGACGACAAUAGAAACGACAACCGUAUUUGGGCCGAAUAAUAUUCUUUAAAGAGGUAUCAAUAAGAGAACAAUUUGAGUCUGACCUCCCAAAUAGCAGGGAUGUUGGGAAAAACAUUAAAUCUACUUCAAGGAGCCAUAUCUUGUGUGUUACCAUAUCGACAUUUUAAAAGCGAGGAGAUAUCACAGCGUCUAGAUUGGAGACUAAAUCCGGGAGGGUCCUCAUCUCUCUACCUGCCGUAUGAGCGACUCUACCCCUCCGGCCGAGAAGUAGAAAAGCUGCUCACGGAGCUGGGUAGCAAAGGGCAUCAUCAGUUGUGAUGACAACGCUCACCACUUUCAAUGGGGCAGCAAAGAUACUAACACCAGAGAUGUCUUCAACUAGCGCUUCAUGAUGGCGUUUGGCGCUAUUUCCGUGCCAUUGGAGGCAAAUGCUAAUUUGUAUGGAGAAUCAAGGCUCUUAUGACAACAGACAUGCACGGGAUCAAUUUUCAGCACACAAGUUUGGCUGUUGGUUUCUGGCCGAUUUUUUUCCCAAAAAUAUGGAUUGACCACCAAAACUGCUGACCACCUCCAGGAAGAUGCCUGGGGGGGCCAAUAUUUCCAGAACAGGGUUAACGUUGGUGCGAUCCCUGAACACAAUGGAGAUUUUAACACAAUACAGAUUAUAACAUAAUUUGCAUUUAACUUACUUAUAGUUAUUUCGCACGAACACAUAUAUUAAAACACCAUUGAACACAAUAAAACAACCACAAUUUGUAUUACUUAAAUCAAUUAUAAUUUUAACCUUGCGGGCUGCACCAAUGGUACUCCUUUACAACAAACAACAAAACGACUUAAACGACAUUUUCCCCGCUGAAGCCAAAAACCAAAGCUUCUAUUAAAAAUAAUUAUUCCCCACCGGGGAAAAGUAUUAGUGCUAUCUCACACAUUUGCACCCUAUUUUAUCAAGGAGUAUCUUGGGAAAUCCCCAAAAGGAAGGAAACAGAUAUUCAAUGUCGCAGAUGUCAAGGAUAUGGACACAUUGCCCCAUAUAACUGUGUUAAAUGCAAAGAGAAACAUGCUCCCGGAGAAUGUCAACGAUCUCCUACAGAUUCCUCAGACCCAUAUUGUGUGAAUUGUGACCAAACUGGACAUCCUGCAAAUUGGAGGGGUUGCCUAGCAUACAAAAAAUAUGUUGAUUCCAAGCAAAAAAGGAACGCCAAAUCAGCUGAGGUAAGAAUUACUGCCCAAAAUAACGUAAAUAAAGCCUUGAGCUUCUCAUAUUUGACACCUGGCAAAUCCUUUGCCAAUGCAUUAAAGCCACAAUCAUUGAAUAAAUGUAGUGAGAAGCCUCAUAUCGUUGAACAAUUCCUUGAGCUAGCUACACUUUUUUUAGACUCUGAGGAACUAACACUGGAAGAGGAGAUAUGUCGAUUUCUGUCGCAAUAUUCAAAAAUGUCAAAGAUUGAAGCCAAAAGAGAGUUUUUGAGACUUCUAAAUAAAGUUAGAAACACGUAUGAACCAUAAAAUUAUGACUUAAUUAACUUUUAAUGUAAGAUCACUUGUAGAUAGAAGUCGACAAGUAGAACUGUAUAAAACCCUCAAUCAUAAUAAUGUAGACAUU